GUUACUAGGUCAACUCUGGAAAGCACUGCAAACCAAGCUGGUAAACCAAGUGCCAGCUCUGGCUAAAGCUGUAGGCACUAGAUGAUCGGAGGCUAAAAUUCUGCUCUCUGCCACAUCGUUGUGAAUCUGAAGUGAGAUUACUCCACAUUUGCUCCAGUAACCAAAAGCAGACUAGAAUCCUGGAGUUUUGUUUUGCACAGCUGACCAAAACGGAUCCCGGCCUGAGUCCUUGUAACUGAAGGAUAGCAAAAGACGAGGAAGAAGAGUGCUUUCCAAACAUACGCUUCGUUCAGUUCAACUUUGGACUAUUUCCUUCUCCAAAGCAAAAGUUAUUUGAAACAGCCAGCCACAAAAGGGUCUUGUCUUGCAAAAAUCUGUGUGUUUCCAAGUAACCUUUUUUAUCAAAGGAAAAAAAGCCAGCCAUUCACAGAAGUUAUUCUCCGUUAUGAAUAAAGUUAUCUCUGAUGUCCUUCAAAAAAUAAUGUCGGGCUUUUGACUGACUGAAGGAAGUUCAAGGAAAAUAUUCCAGGUGGCCGGGACAUGAAGAACAAGCUAUUGAACCUGCCUUCUGUUCCUCCUGCUUCUAUGACACACUCACCAUUGGAAACAUGUUUCCUUUGCUUAAUGAAUAAUGAUUAACAGCACUGAAGCAUUUAGAUUGGUAAGAACCAGGCAAAUACAUGACUGGAGCUACAUGUAUCUAUUGUAUAGAAAUACUCUAUAAGCCAGAUCUUCUACUGAUGUAAACCGAAUAAUUGAAGUCAAUUGAACAAUUAAUUCAAUGGACUAUGCCAGGAGAGGAUCGGGCCCUAUGUUUGUAUUGAUUUUCACCUGCGUACACACAAUUGUUGAGUUUUAUAUUCGACUUUACAUUGUCACCAUUUUCUUUUCUAAACCGGUCCUGGUGGAAUGUGA